rnacentral:rRNA from 1 species
UACGUAGGGACCAAGCGUUGUUCGGAAUUACUGGGCGUAAAGCGCGUGUAGGCUGCUUCGCAAGUCGGAUGUGAAAGCCCUGGGCUCAACCCAGGAAGUGCAUUCGAAACUGCAGAGCUGGAGUCCUGGAGAGGAAGGCGGAAUUCUCGGUGUAGAGGUGAAAUUCGUAGAUAUCGAGAGGAACACCGGUGGCGAAGGCGGCCUUCUGGACAGUGACUGACGCUGAGACACGAAAGCCAGGGGAGCGAACGGG